rnacentral:miRNA from 9 species
AUGUAUAAAUGUAUACACAC